GGUACUUUUGGGAUGCUUAUUGCUUCGUUUGGAAAAUAGGUGGCAGAUAGACGAAACCACUUUCAUUUCCUGAGGAAGGACAACUUCCUACCACUUUAAUUUCUCUCGAGCUAUUUUUUUUUUUCAAAACUAAAAUCCUUUAUUGGCAAGGCUUUUUGACAUCUUUCCUGCCUUCAACAUUUGAAAAUUUCACUUUGCCCAGAACUUGAUUGCUCGCCAGAAGAAGGUCUCGAGGCUUCGCUGUCUCUUUUGGACAUCAGUUCCUGUCCUUUGGUAAGCCCAAGUUGCCUAGGGAAAGAUUUGUCCGAGAUUGCUCACAUCCCUCACGUAUACCCAGGUGAUCCAUAUUCAAAUUGGCCAGGGAUAGACCUGUCUAUCCUGUGUAAAAAUGUUCAGGUGGUUCGAUUUUAGUAAUGAAAAAACAACUCAGUAAGAUUCUCUUCGUUUUUGCUUCGUAAAAGUAGCUAUACUUAGAUGUAAAUAUUCGAUAUCCAUUUAAAUGCAGCUCAUGUCCUCACUCUGGCACAGCCCUGCAGUUGUGGAUAAAUCAGAAAAAAAUAUAAAAGCGAUUUGUUAUUAUGCUGUUGUUCUAUUAUAAACUUUUUUCCUCACUAUUUAACUACCUUGUGAUAAAGAUUCAUUUCCAAGUUCUCACAAUUGCAGUACCAUUGUUGGAAGCAAAGUAUAGUUAUUCUCAAUAGAUGAUUCAAUAGUGAAAAUCUUUUUCGUUUUGAGAUUCAUUUCUAGCUCUUCUUGGCCAUUUUAGUGCUCAGGUAUCUAUUACCUACUACCACAGACUCUAUGACUUUUACCAACUGUUUUUGGGAAUUGAUAGCUGGGUUUUGAUUACCUUCCUACUUUCCACUGCCAUUUGACUUUUAGCUAUGGUAUAUUGCAGUCAGCAUCAAGUUUCCAAAAAGAUGGUUUUUCUCAAUUCAUUCAGGUGAUAAAAACCAGAAAUUACACAGUAAUAAUGAAAAGAUGUAUAUUUUAUACUACCUUUCUGCAGGAAUUUACAGGAACGUUUAAAGCACUUCACAACAUUGUACCACAAAUCGAAAUUUAAUUCUUGCUUUUUUAAGGUAUGCCUCUCAGUUAGCUUCAUAAAUCCUCAUAGAAUUGGCAAGUUACAUGAUCUUUGUUAGAGAUUCAAUUUGCCAUGUGAUAGCAAUUUUGUGGCCUCUUUUCCUUUUAUAAAUUCUGGUUGUUUUCCUGUUUCUAACUCAAGAAUUUCAAAUUAUAAUCUUUACAAUUAUAUAGAAAAUCUUAGAACUUGUUUAAACUGAUAUAUUGCAUGCAACUUAAAUUCUUUCUUCAUGGUUUAUCACUGCUUGAAUGAAAUCUUCACAGGGUUUUCCCUUCCAGUUCGAAAGUUCCCUCAUUGUUUGAACUGACUGCUUGUCUUAUAACCAUAGUUGAUUUCAACAGUGCCAAGCUUCUGCUUUAGCUGGGGAUAGAUCUCAACUUUCUGUUGUAGCAGACAUUCAUAUACAAUCUCCGAUAGUAUAGCAUAGCUAAUGGAAUUUAAUCAUGUAUUCAGAAAAACUGAAUUCACUUCCUUUCUUUAUUACUUUUGUUUCCCAAUGUUGAUGUUCAUGCAUUGCUUGUGGCAGAAGAUAAUGUAGUUUAAUUCUAGCUGUAAGCUUGUGGUUUCCUUUACAAUAUGUAAGAUAGUUCUUCAGCACCUUGACAGCAAAAUUUUUCACCUUUGGAGUGUUAUAUUAAAACAUUUCCAGUUCCAAGAGUU